UCCGGGUUUCGCCCGGCAGUCUCCCUAGAAUAUUCAACUAAGGACAGGGGUUGCGCUCGUUGCGGGACUUAAGCCAACACCUCACGGCACGAGCUGACGACAGCCAUGCAGCACCUGUGCAAGUUCUCGACUGGUUACGAGUCGUCACCCUUUCAGGUUCCUACUUCAAGCAUGUCAAGCCUGGGUAAGGUUCUUCGCGUAGCAUCGAAUUGAACCACAUGUUCCACCGCUUGUGCUGGCCCCCGUCAAUUCCUUUGAGUUUUAAUCUUGCGACCGUACUCCCCAGGCGGGGCGCUUAAUGCGUUUGCUGCGGCACAGAACUCGUGGAAUGAGCCCCACACCUAGCGCCCAACGUUUACGGCAUGGACUAC
rnacentral:misc_RNA from 1 species